ACUGCUCAGUAACACGUGGUCAACUUACACAAGAGUGCGGGAUAUCCCCGGGAAACUGGGGAUAAUACCGGAUAGAUCAUCUUUGCUGGAAGGCUUGGUGGGUGAAACUUACGGAGCUUCUGGAUGGGUUUGCGGCUGAUUAGGUUGUAAUCCGGUGUAACGUACCGUCAAGCCUGUAAUCAGUACGGGUUGUGGGAGCAAGAGACCGGAGAUGGAUUGUGAGUCACGAAUGCAGUCCAUGCGGGGCGCAGCAGGCGCGAAAUCUCUACAAUGCAGGCCACUGCGAUAGGGGAUCAUCGAGUGAUCCUCAUAUUGGGGGUCUGUCCUCCUUUUUAAAAAACGGGUGUUAACAAGGGUCGGGCAAGUUCGGUGUCAAUCAUCGCGGUAAUCCCGGCGGCUCGAGUGGUGGCCGAUAUUAUUGAGUCUAAAGGGUCCGUAGCCGGCUUUGCAAGUCUUUCGGGAACUGCAGCGGCUUAACCGUUGGUCAUCCGGGGGGUACUUCAUUGCUUGGCACUGGGAGAGGUAGGAGGUACUCAGGGGGUAGGAGUGAAAUUCGGUAAUGCUUUGGGGUCCCACGGUGCCGAAGGCGUCUUUUCAGAACAGGUCCGGCGGUGAGGGCCGAAAGCUAGGGGCACGACCCGGAUUAGAUACUCGGGUAGUCCUAGCCGUUACCGAUGCUCGCUAGGUGUCACACCAGUCGUGAAUUGUUGUGGUACCGUAGGGAAGCCGUGAAGCGAGCCACUUGGGAAGUACGACCGCAAGGUGGAAACGUAAAGGAAUUGGCGGGGGACCAGCA
rnacentral:rRNA from 1 species